rnacentral:rRNA from 1 species
UGGCUCAGGAUGAACGCUAGCUACAGGCUUAACACAUGCAAGUCGAGGGGCAUCAUGGAGUUUGCUUGCAAACUCUGAUGGCGACCGGCGCACGGGUGAGUAACGCGUAUCCAACCUUCCCUAUAGUAGAGGAUAGCCCGGCGAAAGUCGGAUUAAUACUCUAUGUUUUCCGUUGCAGACAUCUAAGAUGGAACAAAGGCUUGCCGCUAUAGGAUGGGGAUGCGUCUGAUUAGGUAGUCGGCGGGGUAACGGCCCACCGAGCCUUCGAUCAGUAGGGGUUCUGAGAGGAAGGUCCCCCACAUUGGAACUGAGACACGGUCCAAACUCCUACGGGAGGCAGCAGUGAGGAAUAUUGGUCAAUGGGCGCGAGCCUGAACCAGCCAAGUAGCGUGCAGGAUGACGGCCCUAUGGGUUGUAAACUGCUUUUAUGCGGGGAUAAAGUUCACUACGUGUAGUGUUUUGUAGGUACCGCAUGAAUAAGGACCGGCUAAUUCCGUGCCAGCCGCCGC